rnacentral:rRNA from 1 species
AACGAACGCUGGCGGCGCGCUUAACACAUGCAAGUCGAACGAGAAGGCGUAGCAAUACGCUUGUACAGUGGCGAACGGGUGAGGAAUACAUGGGUAACCUACCCUCGAGUGGGGGAUAACCCGCCGAAAGGCGGGCUAAUACCGCGUACGCUUCCGAUCUUGCGGGAUCGGAAGGAAAGCUGCACCAUGGGUGUGGCGCUCAAGGAUGGGCUCAUGUCCUAUCAGCNGUUGGUAGGGUAAUGGCCUACCAAGGCAUCGACGGGUAGCUGGUCUGAGAGGACGAUCAGCCACACUGGCACUGCGACACGGGCCAGACUCCUACGGGAGGCAGCAGUGAGGAAUAUUGCGCAAAUGGGCGAAAGCCUGACGCAGCGACGCCGCGUGGGGGAUGAAGGUCUUCGGAUUGUAAACCCCUUUCGGGUGGGAAGACGGCCCUCGACAACGAGGGCGGACGGUACCACCAGAAGCAGCCACGGCUAACUUCGUGCCAGCAGCCGCC